rnacentral:rRNA from 1 species
UACGUAGGGUGCGAGCGUUGUCCGGAAUUAUUGGGCGUAAAGGGCUCGUAGGCGGUUUGUCGCGUCGGGAGUGAAAACCCAGGGCUUAACCCUGGGCUGGCUUCCGAUACGGGCAGACUAGAGGUAUGCAGGGGAGAACGGAAUUCCUGGUGUAGCGGUGAAAUGCGCAGAUAUCAGGAGGAACACCAAUAGCGAAGGCAGCUCGCUGGGACGGUACUGACGCUAAGGCGCGAAAGCGUGGGGAGCGAACAGG